GUUAUGAUUAUAUUACACAAUUGAGGUUAAUUUUUGAUUUUAAGAUUUUACAUAUAAAAAAGCACUAGAGUGUCAAUCCCUAUGCUGCAUUUUUUUAUAAUGAUCUGAUAAUAAUAAAGUAUAAUUGUAGUAAAAAUAAUACAUCAGGUUUACAUCAGGUUACACUGACAAAAACUGUCUGUCUGUGUCAAACUCUGAAUGACAUUUCCUCCACUUAUCUUUAAUUUCAACAUUUGAGCAGUCUGUGAAUGAGUGUCCCUGUAAAGGUGAAUAAACCUCUGAACCCGGUUUAUUGACACAUAAACAGACACACAGAUAAGAGAGACACAUCCUGGUAUCUGCAGCCAAGAUUUUUUUAAAUACAUGGAGUAUGAAAAUCGCACUUAAUAAUCUGAGCCCCGACCUCAGGGAGCCCCAAUUUUCCCAAAACUUCUGUAUGUUUUGCUAGGAAUCUUUGGACCUAAAGUGCAAUUUAUGUUUUAUUAUUUAAAGUUAUAGAUAGUAGUAUAUUGUAUUUAGAUUAAGGCUUCACAUAUAACUGAGACGCGCCUCCUCAAACAUGUAAAUAUUUUUGGCUAUGGAGGUGCAGACAAGAUAAGAACUGUGAUUGGCUACUUGUGUUUUCUCCUAAAGGUUUCUAAUGCUAGUGGAGAUUGUUGAUAGUCAAGAAAACAUCAAGGAAGACCAAAGACUAAACAAUUAGCUUCAGAUUUAGUUGGGGUUUUACUAUUUUUCAAGAAACAUUUGUUUCAAUUUUUUUUUAAUUUGUCAUCCUCGAGACACUAAAUAAAAUUGUCAUUCUUCAAAAAUUUGUUUAUAAGUUAAUUGACAAAACAAUCGGCAGAUUAAUCAAUAAAGACCUAGACUCAAUAGUCUUCUUUUAAUUUUAAUUUCACUUUGAAAGAAACAGAAAACAGAAAAUAUCUUUGCACAUCUAUAACAUGAGACAUCGUGCGGGGGAGGGGGAUGAGGAGGUCAAAAAGUAGGUCAAACAGAUACUCCCAAAAAAAUAAAGUAUGACUCCCUCUUCACAGCUGUUUUCACUACUUCUCUAGGAUUUAAAGGCAGGGUAGGCAAGAUGUUUCUAAAACGCUAUUUGACAUAUUUGUUGAAACUGUCUUUGUACACCAAUAUAUAUUAAAAAGUUAGGUGCUCUGAAAAAGAGAGUAUAAAAAUCGUCUGUCUGUAGUCCUCUCAGUGCUGCAGUAAACACUCCUUUCAUUCGGACCGAAUGCAAUGAUUGGCUGGCUGACUGUCACUCUCCCUCACUGCCAUGGCUACCAGCCCUGCUGCUACAGGAGCUGCACACUUGCACACGUGCAGCUCUCUCCGGUCAGAUUGGAGGUAAUGUCAACGUGGCUUUUCAAUGACGGUGACAACUGAGGUACCCCAAGUGGCUGAAGUUACGCCGUGGUCGCUUCAUUUCUGCUGGACAGGAUUGCCGCAUGUACGCGAAAGAACUGUGGUGGGAACGAAUAACUUUAAAGUCGAGGCAGUAAAGGACCAUGAGUGUCCCCGAAGUCAUCAGGAGAGCCUAAGGAUUAAAACUGCCAAGACAGGUCGUAUUGAAGAGAGCCUUGCUGGGAGAAGCCUCGCUUUAUUGAAGACGUCCGACUUUGCAUGGAUGUGUGAAUUUGGAGUCUUUCAUAGCCCUGUGCUUCUCACCAGUAUACGCUGAUUGGACCAUGCUGGCUGGCCUGGAUUACAACCACCGUGUCCACAGACCAGCCAGGAGAAAAGCUGAUGACACAAUUCAGUACAACAAGGUGUACAACAAAAAAGUCCAGGAAGUGGAGCUUGUACUCACUGAAGGU